CCAAGCGUAGACGGCCUUGAUGCCCAGCGUCAUCGCGCCCCCUCGAAGCCCAGGAUGCUGGUUUACGUGGCAGCAUUCAGUCUGGCCUCUUGGUUUAGGGAGUGGAAAAAGCUAACAAGAGGCUGCCUGGGACCGGGGACAGCAGCCUGGGGGUGGUCACGCCCCCAGAUCCUUUGCAGAGUGGUCACAGCUCGCGCAUUCCUUAACAGUGACCGUAGGUCCUAUGAAGUGGCCUUCCUACACACUCUCUUCGGGUGCCCAGCUGUCACCUGCUCUCCUCACCUGUGGCCAAGGAUUACUCUCCUCUACGUGGUGAUACCUGACCUGCCACAUCCUGGCCCACUUGAAGGGGAAAAAGACAAACGGGGAGUGUAUUAGAGCUCUCUUGCUGCUACAACCAAUUACUAUAGACACAGUAGGUUAAAAGGACACAUCUUACAGUUCUGUAGGUUAGAGGUCCCACGCGGGUCUCACUCGGCCAAAAUCAAGGUGUUGCACAGCUGUGCUCUUUUCUGGAAGCAGUAAAAAAGAAUCCCUUUCCUUGC